rnacentral:misc_RNA from 1 species
GAUGAAGAACGUAGCGAAAUGCGAUAAGUAAUGUGAAUUGCAGAAUUCAGUGAAUCAUCGAAUCUUUGAACGCACAUUGCGCCCGCCAGUAUUCUGGCGGGCAUGCCUGUCUGAGCGUCAUUUCAACCCUCAUGCCCCUAGGGCGUGGUGUUGGGGAUCGGCCAAAGCCCGCGAGGGACGGCCGGCCCCUAAAUCUAGUGGCGGACCCGUCGUGGCCUCCUCUGCGAAGUAGUGAUAUUCCGCAUCGGAGAGCGAUGAGCCCCUGCCGUUAAACCCCCAACUUUCCAAGGUUGACCUCAGAUCAGGUAGGAAAACCCGCUGAACUUAAGCAUAUCAAUAAGCGGAGGA